rnacentral:rRNA from 1 species
UAGGGAAUCUUCCACAAUGGACGCAAGUCUGAUGGAGCAACGCCGCGUGAGUGAAGAAGGUUUUCGGACCGUAAAGCUCUGUUGUUGGUGAAGAAGGAUAGAGGUAGUAACUGGCCUUUAUUUGACGGUAAUCAACCAGAAAGUCACGGCUAACUACGUGCCGGCAGCCGCGGUAAUACGUAGGUGGCAAGCGUUGUCCGGAUUUAUUGGGCGUAAAAGCGAGCGCAGGCGGAAGAAUAAGUCUGAUGUGAAAGCCCUCGGCUUAACCGAGGAAUUGCAUCGGAAACUGUUUUCUUGAGUGCAGAAGAGGAGAGUAGAACUCCAUGUGUAGCGGUGGAAUGCGUAGAUAUAUGGAAGAAUACCAGUGGCGAAGGCGGCUCUCUGGUCUGCAACUGACGCUGAGGCUCGAAAGCAUGGGUAGCGAACAGGAUUAGAUACCCUGGUAGUCCAUGCCGUAAAACGAUGAGUGCUAAGUGUUGGGAGGCUUCCGCCUCUCAGUGCUGCAGCUAACGCAUUAAGCACUCCGCCUGGGGGAGUACGACCGCAAGGUUGAAAC